rnacentral:tRNA from 1 species
GGUGAGAUGGCCGAGCGGUUAUGGCGCCAGGUUAAGGACACCUUAACAGGAGAUUCCUGGUGGAGCAAUCCUCGUGGGUUCGAAUCCCACUCUCAUCA